rnacentral:lncRNA from 1 species
ACUCACUGAUAAGUGGAUAUUAGCCCAAAACCUAGGAUACCCAAGAUAUAAGAUACAAUUUCCUAAACACAUGAAACUCAAGAAAAAUGAAGACCGAAGUGUGGACACUAUGCCCCUCCUUAGAAUUGGGAACAAAACACUCUUGGAAGGAGUUACAGAGACAAAGUUUGGAGCUGAGAUAAAAGGAUGGACCAUGUAGAGACUGCCAUAUCAGGGGAUCCAUCUCAUAAUCAGCUUCCAAACGCUGACACCAUUGCAUACACUAGCAAGAUUUUGCUGAAAGGACCCAGAUAUAGCUGUCUCUUGUGAGACUAUGCGGGGCCUAGCAAACUCAGAAGUGGAUGCUCACAGUCAGCUAUUGGAUGGAUCACAGGGCCCCCAAUGGAGGAGCUAGAGAAAGUACCCAAGGAGCUAAAGAGGUUUGCAACCCUAUAGGUGGAACAACAAUAUGAACUAAGCAGUACCCCAGAGCUCUUGUCUCUAGCCGCAUAUGUAUCAAAAGAAGGCCUAGUUGGCCAUCACUGGAAAGAGAGGCCCAUUGGACUUGCAAACUUUAUAUGCCCCAGUACAGGGGAAUGCCAGGGCCAAAAAGUGGGAGUGGGUGGGUAGAGGAGUAGGGGGUAGGUAUGGGGGACUUUUGGGAUAGUAUUGGGAAAUGUAAAUGAGGAAAAUACCUAAUAAAAAAAAAGAAAUAUUUAAAAAAAAGCAACAAACUCAAAAAAAAAAAUAAAUAAAACUAGGUUCACUUUGACCUUUCAUCAGGAGCUCUGAGAAAGCCUUGGAUCAUCCUGGUUCCUAACGGCUACUAUAAUACCAUUGUGUGGACCCUUUUAACAAAUUACGUUAGUAGAUGCCCACUUUCAGUUUACUCCUAGGUGAUCUCCACCAGUGUGAUGUCUUCAGUUUGCUUCUAUACAAAUUUUAUAGCAAUUGCUGCUCUUGCCUAUCUUAUAGGACUGGAGUGUUAGAUGGUUUAUAUGAAGUUCAUUUAACACCUCAGGGUGAUUCCAUAUAAAUAGCAAAGAAUUUGACAAGACUUUUCAGGUGAAUUGGUGAAGAUGGUUGUUACUGCCUAAAGUACAUCAGUAAGAAAUCAUUGGUUGGUGAAAAAUGCAAGAUGGGGGAGGGAUGGGGAAAGGAUAGAGGGAUCAGAAGUCCCUACAAGCAGAAAUCUCCAGUUUAUGCAGUUCUCCUCUUGAGGAAAUUUUAUUUCACACAAACACAUACACACACACACACACACACACACACACACACACACACACACACCAUGCCUUGUUUGAUAAACCCAUCAUUAUCCUCUCUUAUUCAAAUCUGUCCUUCUUCAAAUCAAAUAUUUUUAUUACAUUUAAAAAAUGUGUUAAGUAUAUGAAUAUGAGGAAAGGUGUCCAUAGAGGCUCUGACCUGGAGAUAAAGUAACAGGUAUUUGUAAUCCUUUUGAUAUGAGUGCUGGGGAAGUUGGCUCCUCUGGUGAAGCAAUAUUGCUUUUAUCCACUGGUGCAUCUCUCCAUGCCCCAGUCCCUUCUUAUUCCUAAUUCCUUCCAUUACAUUAAAUUAUUUUUGAUUUCAUGCUUCUCUCAUGUAUCCAUUGAGAUGACUCUGAAGCCUGAGUGUUAUCAGAGAUCAGAGAAUAUUAAAUAACAUUCCCAAAACAUUUUUUACAGUCAAUAAACACAUUAGCAUUUCCCUGGCUCCUAAAGCUAGCACUUUUCCAUAAACUGUUGUAGAAAAUGAAAUAUUUCUUAGUUACAUUGAUUAAAGUAUCUUUUGUACUUAUUUUCCUUCUCAAAUAAUUUAAAAAUCAAAACAAUGAAGAGAAAUAAUAAUUUAUAUGUGAACAGGGUAAAAUUACUAUCAUUUUGCAGUUUAUAAAUAGAAUGAGUAAUGUGUGGCACAUAUCAAAACUUGAUGUUCCUUGUUCUGUGACAGUGAAUUCCAGUCGCUACCUGCUAUGCAGUUCUGUCACAGAAGUCAGGUAGCAGUAGUAUUUACUUCAGCUUGAGGCAAUGGUUACUAAAUUGAGAGAGUUAUCUAAGCUCACUGACUUUUAAGAUCAAAAAGGCCAAAGUCAUAAAUGAAGUAAUUCAACCAGA